UUUCCUUCACCACUAGGCAGAGAACUCAAUGACCAAUCUUCAUUUACUCCAUUGUCAUUUUCUUAGCAUUGACUUCUUGAACCUGAAAAUGAUAAACCUAAUUGAUUAGAUUCAAUGUACAAUCAAUUUUUAGUGAAGCAUGAAUGUAUGAACAAAGCAUGAAUUCAUGAACUAUUUUUGCGUGCAAUUUAUUAUGUUACUUUGUUUGAGACUUAAUUUUUGUGAUUAUUUUUGUGUAUUUUUAUAGGUUAGACUCAAUUCUUCAAAGGAUCUUGCUUGUGUUGCACAAGGUAAAGAAAUGUUUUUCUAUCAAGUUCAAUUUGAUAUUUAUUUUGUAUUGUUGUUUUCUAUAAAACAUAAUUUCAUGAAUAUUUAUUUAGUGAAGAAUGAAUAUAUAUAUGAACAAAGCAUGAAUAUAUAUGAACAGCAUGAAACCAUGAACCAUUUCUUUCUGCAAUAUAUUAUGUGUGAUUAUGUAUUUGUUCUGUUUUUUUCAUAGGCCAGCCUCACAUUUUCAAAGAUCUUGCUUGUGUUUCACAAAGGUAACGAAAUGUUUUUCUAUCAAGUUUAGUUUGCUAUUUAUUUUGGUUGGAUGUUUUGCAACAAAGCAUAUCAAAUACAUAUUACUUUUCUGCAGUCAUAACAAAAAAAACUGUGGUGCAAUUUACUAACAAUUACAUCUCUACAAAUAGACAAUUAAAACAUGUAUUUUCAAGAUUGGAGUAAAAGUUGUUUGAAUUGUGUUAAUGUGAUUCCAGCUAUGGCGAAGGAAGGAAGGAGUGGUUGAGAACAACUCAUGGAGUCUACACACAACCAAUAGAUGACAGUGACUUUAAGUAAAAUGGUAACAUAAUGAGAGGAC
rnacentral:lncRNA from 1 species